AGUCCCUCCAGGGAGGAAGUGCCCCAGGAAGUUUCACCCUCACAGAAGGCUCCUGGGACCAGGAGUGUGAGCCACACCACUGACCAAGGCCGAGCAAGCACUUGCCGCCCGCCAGGGAGCUGCCACAGAGGAAGCUGUCAAGCAAACACAGCCCCCGCAGGGUGGAUUUCCCUGAUUCCCUGCCCAGUGUGAUGUUCUCCUCCAGGGGUAGCCAGAUGGUGAGAAGCAGCAGCAGCAGAGCCAGGAGGUCGUCUGAGAGGACAAGGCAGGCCUCCCGGCCCCUGGAGCGAGAGAGGGGAGCACCUUCAGGCUGGAGGCUUGCUGGCAGAGUGGGGUGCUUCUGGGCACUUACUGGUGAAGCUAAAGAGCCAUGUUACACUUGCCUGGGCUGAGAAAAGACUGACCUGACUGAAGAAUUGUAUCCUAAUUUGUUCCAGAUCCUGAACUGUAACAGGUUGUUUCUGUCAUAA